rnacentral:rRNA from 1 species
AAUCAACGCUGGCGGCGUGCCUCAGACAUGCAAGUCGAACGAUUAAGACUUCCUUCGGGAAGUGCAUAAAGUGGCGCACGGGUGAGUAACACGUAAGUAAUCUACCCUCGAGUGGGGAAUAACGUUCGGAAACGAACGCUAAUACCGCAUAAUGCAGCGGCAUCGCAAGAUGACAGUUGUUAAAGGAGUAAUUCGCUUGA